rnacentral:rRNA from 1 species
GGAAUUUUGGACAAUGGGGGCAACCCUGAUCCAGCCAUUCCGCGUGAGUGAAGAAGGCCUUCGGGUUGUAAGGCUCUUUCGCAAGGGAAGAAAACUUAUGAUCGAAUAAAUCAUGAGGUUGACGGUACCUUGAUAAGAAGCACCGGCUAACUACGUGCCAGCAGCCGCGGUAAUACGUAGGGUGCGAGCGUUAAUCGGAAUUACUGGGCGUAAAGCGUGCGCAGGCGGUUUUGUAAGUCGGAUGUGAAAUCCCCGGGCUCAACCUGGGAACUGCGUUCGAAACUGCAAGGCUAGAGUGUGUCAGAGGGGGGUAGAAUUCCACGUGUAGCAGUGAAAUGCGUAGAGAUGUGGAGGAAUACCAAUGGCGAAGGCAGCCCCCUGGGAUAACACUGACGCUCAUGCACGAAAGCGUGGGGAGCAAACAGGAUUAGAUACCCUGGUAGUCCACGCCCUAAACGAUGUCAACUAGUUGUUGGUAGAGUAAAAUCUAUGAGUAACG